CUAGUACUUCCUCCGUCUUAAAAUUAUUGUCUUAGAUUUUUUUUAAAAUGAAUGUAUCUAAAUACUAAUACAUGACUAUAUACAUUUAUAUUUAGACAAAUCAAAGACAAGAAUUUUGGGAUGGGGGGAGUAUCAU
rnacentral:pre_miRNA from 1 species